UCACGACAAGGCCAACCCUUCCGUGAAGGGGGGGACGGAAAACGACGGGUCUUUAAGGCAAAGAUGGUCGAGCUGCCGUA
rnacentral:ncRNA from 1 species